CAGAUUGACUGCACGUCGAGAGCGUA
rnacentral:sRNA from 1 species